rnacentral:rRNA from 1 species
UAUUAUUUUGGAUUGUUAAAAUUUGUGCCUGAGUAGUAUUAGUUAUGUUCUUGAAACUUAAAGAAUUUGGCGGUAUCUUAUUCCAUCCAGAGGAAUCUGUCUCGUUAUCGAUAGUCCACGCUGGACCUUACUUAGUUGCUUGGGUUUGUAUACCGCCGUUUAUUGAUUAUCUUUUUAGAGUCUUUAAUUUUCUUGUUUCUUUAUUUUGAUUUAUUUCAGGUCAAGGUGCAGCUUGUUUCUAAGUGGAAUGAUGGAUUACAUUGUUAUUUGUUUAUUGGAUUGUUGGUUUUAAUAUUGAUAUGAAAUUGGAUUUGGUUGUAAUGUUUUGUAGAUUAUUUUUCUGAUAAUUGGUUCUGGGAUAUGUACACAUCGCCCGUCGCUCUCAUUUAUUUUCUAAUGAG